UACGAAGGGUGCAAACGUUGCUCGGAAUCAUUGGGCGUAAAGCGCACGUAGGCGGCUUCGCAAGUCGGAUGUGAAAUCCCUAGGCUCAACCAAGGACGUGCAUCCGAAACUGCAAGCUUGAGUACAGAAGAGGAUCGCGGAAUUCCCGGUGUAGAGGUGAAAUUCGUAGAUAUCGGGAGGAACACCAGUGGCGAAGGCGGCGAUCUGGGCUGAUACUGACGCUGAGGUGCGAAAGCGUGGGGAGCAAACAGG
rnacentral:rRNA from 1 species